rnacentral:rRNA from 1 species
AUUGAACGCUGGCGGCAGGCCUAACACAUGCAAGUCGAACGGAGCGGCGGACGGGUGAGUAAUGCCUAGGAAUCUGCCUGGUAGUGGGGGAUAACGUCCGGAAACGGGCGCUAAUACCGCAUACUAUCAGAUGAGCCUAGGUAGGAUUAGCUAGUUGGUGGGGUAAAGGCCUACCAAGGCGACGAUCCGUAACUGGUCUGAGAGGAGGAACAGUCACACUGGAACUGAGACACGGUCCAGACUCCGACGGGAGGCAGCAGUGGGGAAUAUUGCACAAUGGGCGCAAGCCUGAUGCAGCCAUGCCGCGUGUAUGAAGAAGGCCUUCGGGUUGUAAAGUACUUUCAGCGGGGAGGCGUUACCCGCAGAAGAAGCACCGGCUAACUCCGUGCCAGCAGCCGCGAUAAUUC